rnacentral:snRNA from 1 species
AGCUAUGCGCAGCGGCAGUAUUGUAGCCAGUGAGGUUUAUCCGAGGCGCGAUUAUUGCUAAUUGAAAACUUUUCCCAAAAAAC